UCCCUGGUGGUCCAGUGGUUAGGACUCUGUGCUCCCAAUGCAGGGGGCUGGGGUUUGAUCCUGGGUCAGGGAA
rnacentral:tRNA from 1 species